rnacentral:rRNA from 1 species
GACGAACGCUGGCGGCGUGCCUAAUACAUGCAAGUAGAACGCUGAAGAGAGGAGCUUGCUCUUCUUGGAUGAGUUGCGAACGGGUGAGUAACGCGUAGGUAACCUGCCUUGUAGCGGGGGAUAACUAUUGGAAACGAUAGCUAAUACCGCAUAACAAUGGAUGACACAUGUCAUUUAUUUGAAAGGGGCAAUUGCUCCACUACAAGAUGGACCUGCGUUGUAUUAGCUAGUAGGUGAGGUAAUGGCUCACCUAGGCGACGAUACAUAGCCGACCUGAGAGGGUGGUCGGACACAAUGGGACUGAGACACGGCCCAGACUCCUACGGGAGGCAGCAGUAGGGAAUCUUCGGCAAUGGGGGCAACCCUGACCGAGCAACGCCGCGGGAGUGAAGAAGGUUUUCGGAUCGUAAAGCUCUGUUGUAAGUCAAGAACGGGUGUGAGAGUGGAAAGUUCACACUGUGACGGUAGCUUACCAGAAAGGGACGGCUAACUACGUG